GCUUGGCAUUACUAAGUGACAGUAUUUGUUUACUGGCAUCGGCCACUCGACUGUCUGCCGGAGAUUUCUCACUGUUCAGAAUAAGGAAGCUGUGAUCUCCACCAGCAAACACCUUCACCGGACCACUGAAUAUCUCUGCAUAGUCAUAACUCAACAUUAAGUUUGGAGGUGCCGGCACCAGACUUAUGCAAUACCACAGAACUCUCCAUCUUGGAUUUCUUCCUUGGCUAAGAAGAAUACUUUGGGAUAACAAAACAAACUGACUGGAGACUCGUCAUUUGGCGUGAAGGUCACUGGUGUUGGGACGAGGGCGAAGGCCAUGUGCGGACAUCCCAAUUGACCCCGGGCUCCGUACCCACACGCCAGGAUACGCUCCCCCACGCGGCAUAACAUGUGUCGACGGCCGCACGCGACCUGAGUGACUGUGCUACCCAUCAGUUCCAUCACCUGAAUUUGAAUUUGGAAUUUUGAACUAGUCUUUUUUAAAACUUAAUAAAACAAUGUUAAUACAUUUUGUUAUUCAUCUUGUUUAGCUAAAACUAUCGUCAUGAGGAUCUGUAGGCUUGACACCUAUUGGUAUCAAUAAACUGAAUAAAAAGCAUUUCAA